UCCAAAAAGAAAACAAAAUAAAAUUGAAAGAGGAUUAGGUUAAGAGAUAUGACCUUUGAAGUUCUUUCAACGAGAUCCUUUUCUUCUCCUUCAGCAGCGGCGGCGAGUCUCCUCUCUUCGUCUCCGAUCAACUCUCUCUGCCACCGCGAGUCAAGAACACGAAACCAUCAUCAUCAUGUCUCUCGGCCUCUCUGAUUCGAUCUCCGAUUUCCCUCGCGGUUCAUCGUCUCCUGCGUCUUUGUGUUGUACGUGAUGUGUGGUGAUGAACGUUGAUGAAAGGAGGAGGUGAAACAAGGGUGAAGAAGGAUGAGGCUAUGAUUCUUGCGCUGAAUUCAAGAUGAAGAAGGUUGACGCCUAAGAAUGAAGGUCGAAAUCGCGGUGGAUCCGAAGAUGUUGAUGACGAGAAACUCACGUAUAUUUCCGAAGUUGCAAAGAGCUUCGCGCAAGGCUUCAUGGUAUGCUUAUUCCAAUUGCUGAAAGGGUCGGCUUUAUGAAGGGAUCUCGUUCUGUUUCUCCGCUGAUCAUGGCUCUUUAUGCGGCUCGGUUUUGGCAGCAGGCUUGUAUGCUUCACGGUAUUGGCUUGAAGACACAAUACAUGGUUCAUUGGGCACGGAAAUUAUUCAUGAAGAUGGGAAGAAUUGGAAAGACUACGACGGGAGCUCGAGGAGGAAGAGGCAAUGGGAGACCUUAGUCUUUAGGAUAAGUUCAGGAAUGUAUUUGAAUGAAAUGAUUUGUGUAAUAUUCUUGAUGUCGAUGUAAUGUAAUGCGAUUUUCGAAA